GGCAUCAUUACUGCUAAGAUCAGCCUGCAAUCCCGGCUGGAGGCAGGCGCAGGACUUGGAGAGAGCCAGACACACACACACACACACACACACUCACACGUAUACUCACAUACAUGUGUCCGAUGCCUUCUCCGACUUACGAGGGUCCUGGGUCGCUGUGCCUGCUCCUCAUGUGAUCCUUUCAUCAUUUCCAGAGGACAGAAAAAGACAAAAAAAAAAAAAAAAAAAGACAAACAACCAAAAAGGAAAAAAAAACAACCCAGAAAGAAAGAAACCCCAAGACCAAGCGUAGCCGCGGUCCUCUCUCGUUUAUAUUUUUUACCGGAGAAGGAGGAACGGCGGGGGAAAGAGAGAGCGAAGCGAGGAGAGAAAGUGCGUUGGGAAUGCCAGAGCCGUGGGCUGCGCGCCGGAGGAGGAGGUGGCGGAGCAGGGGGUAGGACGAUGCCGCCGCCUCGUAAGGGCGGAGGAAGGCGCGGGAGGCGCGGGGGUCGCUCGGAGCGGCGGCGGCCGGCGGGGAACGGGCCCGCGGGGCCGGCCGGGAGCGGCGCCGGGCGGAGGGCGGCGGCGGCCACCACCGAGGAGCGGCGGCGGCAAAGUUUUGGUGUGGGGGGCCAGAGGCGCGGAGGGGGAUUACGAUCGGUGCCGGCGAGGGAUUCUCAGACACCGCCAGGCAGGCCAGAUCUGACAGAUAGCGGAUAUGAGGACUUUGCUGACAUCAGAAAGCUGACAGAAACCAACAGACUUCAGUGAAAUACCCCUCCAAGCACAGAGACUUAUGGUAGCUUUAAAGUAACCUGUUGUUCAUCUGCAAAAGACAUGGCUACUGGUACCUUCAGCACACAUGGAGGAAGGCAACAAACAUUGUAACCUGGCUAAUAGGACUCUGUUUUCCUUAUCAAAAGUAGGAGGUAGGCCACUUAUAAAAGGAUUAUUUCAUGCUUAGCCUCCAGGACUUUAACUCUGGCCUGAACACUGGACAUAAAUAGAAGCCAGCUUUAAUGACCUGAGAUUUUGUUACCUGUCGGUUAGUAUCGUUAUCAGUUCUUAAACACUUUGGUAC
rnacentral:lncRNA from 1 species